AGGGAGCCUGUUUCCCUUUGUCCCCCGAAGGCCAGACUGCUGACCAUCCCUUCCCUUGUCCCCUUCCUCCUUCCAGGAGAGUUGGAUGAUAUGUUUGGUAAAGGCCUGUUUUGGUUUGGGUGUUUGUGGACCUUUCACAGUUGCCAUUCAUGGCAGGUGCUAGCCACACUGUGGGGAAGGGCAUGUGAAGUUUUGGAAUCUGUACCAAGGAGCCUGCCGUGCGCGAGUUAGAGGGAACAUUAAACCCUACGGCAUGAUGGCUGGGAUGUCCUGGCUUGUGGUGGGAACCUGCUGCACCCUUCCAAUAGGGUUUCUCAGUGGGUGCACCACCAGCCUGUCUCCCCUGCUCUGUGGGGGAGGUGGAGCAUGAGCGCACGUGAUGGACCCUGAAGGAUGGUGAAGCAUUGUAGGGCCGGGGCAUGCUUGUGGAAACAGUAUUUCUGGAAGGUUGUAGUGUGGCCUUGAAUAAGAUGUGCCCCUUCAUGUGGUGGGUGCUGGCGUCUAGAGACAAAAUGAAUAAGAACUGGAAUGUGAUCGAAAGAGGGCGGCUUAACUUGUGUGUGCACCAAAUGUUUGUGGGGAACCUCAUGUGUAUAUGACCUGAUUCCGUGGUAACGUUUUGUGAGCAACUAUCUUGCAGUGAUCAAUAAAUGUCAUGCCUUGAGACAAGCGCUUACUUAACGUGCGAAGGGUGGGUUCCCUCUGGCUGUGUUUCCUGUCCUCCCUAGACCUCUCUUUCCGCGGGGGGAGGGAAGGGGAGGCAGGUUCCUGUUGGAGGGUUGUCCCACCCCCAGUGUGGUGAAUGAUGAUUGAUCCUUCUCUGACACCUACU